AAAUAUACUAAACAUACUGAACUGCACACUUUAAAUGGGAGAGUUUUAUGGGCUCGCAGUCAAAAUGAACAUUUGCUCAGUGGAUUCAUGACUAGCCUGUUUCAUCAGACGCCAUAUAUGCUGAGGUUAACCAAACUCGUGAGCAAGCAUAUACUUCAAACAAGAUGAGCAAACGACACACACAGCCAGCCACACCCGUGCACUCCUGAUUCAUGGAACCAAGAGGACAAGAAGAUUGGGCUCAGAACAUGAGAUCAGCUCACCACACUGUGGCUGAGUGUGAAUACACAACUACUGUCUUCAUCAUAGUUUGUAGCCAUAACCCGAAAGAGCAGUGUAGCUGCUGGCCAAGGCAAGAAUGCAAGAGAAAUACAUAGCUUAUGACAUCAGGAGAAAAUUAACUAACUUAAUCAUUGGAAGCCAUUGAUGCAGAGGUCACAAUAUUACAACAGAUUAAACUGUUAAGGGAUGUUAAUUUUUCCCAUUGGUGAUGAACUCAAAGUCUUAAGGACUCCAUUCCGAGGAGGACAUGUACAUUCAAUGAGACCUUGGACAGUAGCAUAUGUCUCCCCAGCCCAAUGUUCCAACAUGGCAAGUCUUCCAAAAACCACCCACUCUGCUCUGUAAACAGAUGCAUCCUGGCUGAAGAAAGCUUCACUAACUUUGAAGAUUUGAAAGACGUACAAAAUUCAGGGAGACAAGUUGUGACCAAUAAAAGUUGAACAGGAUCUGUAAGACUAUGUUACAAAGCUGGCUGACUUUCAUGAUUGGAGGAUGGUGUUAGGAAAGUGACUGAGCAAGAUUCUUAAAAUGGAAGAAGUUGAGCUCUUGGAUCAAAACAUCAGUGGCCUGGUUUGAGGCAGUAUACAUAUUUGGAAAAUAAAAUCAAAAGCAUCAUGAUAAAGAAGGCUUACCAAAG
rnacentral:lncRNA from 1 species